rnacentral:rRNA from 1 species
UGGGGAAUAUUGCACAAUGGGCGCAAGCCUGAUGCAGCCAUGCCGCGUGUGUGAAGAAGGCCUUCGGGUUGUAAAGCACUUUCAGCGGGGAGGAAGGCGUUAAGGUUAAUAACCUUGGCGAUUGACGUUACCCGCAGAAGAAGCACCGGCUAACUCCGUGCCAGCAGCCGCGGUAAUACGGAGGGUGCAAGCGUUAAUCGGAAUUACUGGGCGUAAAGCGCACGCAGGCGGUCUGUCAAGUCGGAUGUGAAAUCCCCGGGCUCAACCUGGGAACUGCAAUCGAAACUGGCAAGCUAGAGUCUUGUAGAGGGGGGUAGAAUUCCAGGUGUAGCGGUGAAAUGCGUAGAGAUCUGGAGGAAUACCGGUGGCGAAGGCGGCCCCCUGGACAAAGACUGACGCUCAGGUGCGAAAGCGUGGGGAGCAAACAGG